UACGUAGGGGCCUAGCGUUGUCCGGAAUUAUUGGGCGUAAAGAGCUCGUAGGCGGUUCGGCAAGUCGGAUGUGAAAUCUCCACGCUUAACGUGGAGGGGCCAUUCGAAACUGCUGUGACUCGAGUCCGGUAGGGGAGUGUGGAAUUCACGGUGUAGCAGUGAAAUGCGUAGAGAUCGUGAGGAAGACCAGUGGCGAAGGCGGGUCUCUGGACAGUUCCUGACACUGAGGCACGAAGGCCAGGGGAGCAAACGGG
rnacentral:rRNA from 1 species